GAUGAACGCUGGCGGCGUGCCUAAUACAUGCAAGUCGAGCGAACGGACGAGAAGCUUGCUUCUCUGAUGUUAGCGGCGGACGGGUGAGUAACACGUGGAUAACCUACCUAUAAGACUGGGAUAACUUCGGGAAACCGGAGCUAAUACCGGAUAAUAUUUUGAACCGCAUGGUUCAAAAGUGAAAGACGGUCUUGCUGUCACUUAUAGAUGGAUCCGCGCUGCAUUAGCUAGUUGAUAAGGUAACGGCUUACCAAGGCAACGAUGCAUAGCCGACCUGAGAGGGUGAUCGGCCACACUGGAACUGAGACACGGUCCAGACUCCUACGGGAGGCAGCAGUAGGGAAUCUUCCGCAAUGGGCGAAAGCCUGACGGAGCAACGCCGCGUGAGUGAUGAAGGUCUUCGGAUCGUAAAACUCUGUUAUUAGGGAAGAACAUAUGUGUAAGUAACUGUGCACAUCUUGACGGUACCUAAUCAGAAAGCCACGGCUAACUACGUG
rnacentral:rRNA from 1 species